AAACCAACAGGGAUUGCCCCAGUAACGGCGAGUGAAGCGGCAACAGCUCAAAUUUGAAAUCUGGCUUCGGCCCGAGUUGUAAUUUGGAGAGGAUGCUUUGGGCGCGGCGCCUUCCGAGUUCCUUGGAACAGGACGCCAGAGAGGGUGAGAGCCCCGUACGGUUGGACUCCAAGCCUAUGUAAAGCUCCUUCGACGAGUCGAGUAGUUUGGGAAUGCUGCUCAAAAUGGGAGGUAAAUUUCUUCUAAAGCUAAAUACCGGCCAGAGACCGAUAGCGCACAAGUAGAGUGAUCGAAAGAUGAAAAGCACUUUGAAAAGAGGGUUAAACAGUACGUGAAAUUGUUGAAAGGGAAGCGCCUAUGACCAGACUUGCGCCCCGCGAACCACCCGGCGUUCUCGUCGGUGCACUUCGCGGGAUGCAGGCCAGCAUCGGUUUUCUUAGGGGGAUAAAGGCCGCGGGAACGUAGCUCUUUCGGGAGUGUUAUAGCCCGUGGUGUCAUGCCCUUGAGGGGACCGAGGACCGCGCUUCGGCAAGGAUGCUGGCGUAAUGGUCAUCAGCGAC
rnacentral:rRNA from 1 species